UCCAGUGUAGUCCAUAAAUCAGGGAAACCCUUUCCUCCAAACUGGAUUUUUAUUUAGAGUUCCAACUUCACAGGCUAAUCAGGGAUGGCACUUUACGCACACAUAUUUUUAACACUUGUUUUUCCUGAACAAGACUCAUUUUAUUAUUGUUUUGUUCAUCACAUAGCUUGCAAUCUCACCCCAUGUCCUUACAUUUCUAUCAAGGUUUGUAUAUUUUUACACACAGACUUUUAUAUUUAUUUUAAUACUGCAUGCAAAAUAGAAAUCUUCCAAUGAAAAUGAUUUAUGUUUAAAAAUCUUCCAAUGAAAAUGAUUUAUGUUUAAAAAAAAUUGAAUAUAGUGAUACAUGUAUUAAACAUCAAUGUAUUUUUGAUUGGUUUUAUUUAGAGACAGUCUGUAUGAUCCAAUGGUAUUAUUAUGUUUCAAAUGUUCAUGAUUUAAUGAUAUUCAUUUAUGCUGUAAUGCAGUUUACUAGGGAGAUGCAAGCUAAGUUAGUUUGACAUCCAAUCAAUGCCUGAAAGUUUUUGUUAAAAACUUGAAUUUUUUUUCACAUAGAUAAAUAAUGCUAGUCUUCCCAUUUAAUAUUGUUUGGUUUAGAUUGUACACAUUAAAAUACCCAGGCUCUGACUGAUUAAGGCAAAAGUACAAAAGUUGAAUUGGGAAAUUCAAAAAGUUAAAUUGUCAAUAUUUGGGAAAAUCUUAUUCAUAAUGCUAUAUCAAAAGUAUAAGGAAGAAAUGCAGAGUUUGAAUCUAAUUAAUCCAAAUUUUUAUAUUUCGAAUAACGAUAACAAGAAAGCCAAAUGUAUGCGUUAUUGAACAGUAUCAUAACAGGGCAUUCAUUCUAUCACAGUGUAAGCCAUGUUACUCAUACAUGUAUGAUAAACUUGCAAUUUUUCACUUUUUGAUUUAUCCGUCCCUAGAAUUUGAUAAACUUUAUACAAAAAAGUCAAAUGUUAUUAUGUUUUCUUUUUUUGAAUGUAAUAAGGCAUUACUAAUUCUAUCAUUAUAUGAAUAUAAACAUAAGUUACUGUAACCAUGGUUACUGCAAUAGUGUUGAUUUCGCUAUCUAUGCAAUGUUUCUAAUUUUUCUAAUAAAAAAGUUAUUUUGAUUUUGAUGAGUGAGUAACAUAUUAUAGAAAGUGAUGUAAAUGUAAAUCUUAACUUAUUACAUUGGUUGUAUUUUUCUUAUACUCUGUUUGCACCAGUAGUUAUCUUGAAAUGUCAAAGCAACUAUAUCAUGGAAUACUGGUAUUAUCUAAGAUUUUGAAGCCAAGGAAGAUCUAGUUAGAACAAAACAGGUUUGUGCUGGUGAAACAAAACUGGGAAAGCCUGAUCUGAGAAAAUACAUGAGACUGUCUCUGUGAAAACGAGGUUUAACCCUUUCAGUGCGGGAACCAAAUUUUGAAGGCCUGUGCAAACAGUUUGGAUCCAGAUGAGACGCCACAAAAUGUGGCGUCUCAUCAGGAUCCAAACUGUUUGCUAUUCUGAUAGUAUUCUUUGAAAAAAAUCGAAGAAAAUGCUAAUUUUAGAAAUUCAGCAGACAACAUUUUAGCAGACGACAAAUUCCCAGCAUGCAAAGGGUUACAUGAAUGCAUGUGCGUAUAGUGUUAGACUGAGCAGUUUGCACAGGCUCAUCAGGGACGACACUUUCCGCUUUUAUGAAAUUAUUGGUUGAAAGGACUUCUUUGAAAGGAAAAUCCAGUCUAGGCAGAAAGAGUAGUCCCUGAUUAGUCUGUGCAUACUGCAUGUUUUUGCAUCUUUGAGCUGCGUCAUGCACAAAUGGGUUUUAUGCCAUAUGCAGCCAGAUUUGCUUCAGACCAGCUGGAGCAUUUGUCAGUAGUUACCUUGUCCCAAAUAUAGUCACACAAUAUGAGGCCUUUCUGUAUCAGAAGCAAAGUAAAAAUGGCUAUGUUCAAACAGCGUAAAACCAGAACAGUCUGCGAGUAACUCGCAGUCUGUUCUCGUUUAAUGCUAUUUGCUGCUCAUCAGUAACUUAAGAUUGGAAAUUAAGCUGUUAAACUUGAAUCUAGUACUUUAAGAAAGGUCUAAAGUUAUAUUUUACUUUCUAAGGGACUACAAAUGCGUAAAAAUCGAAUCUUAGUGGUAAAGUGUCAAGUGCUGUCAUAAAGGGACAGGGUAGCUCCUGACCAGAAUAUGCGAACGUGCAGGCUCGACUGGAGUUUGCUAGCCUCAUAUGGCUUAACAUCUAUUUCGCAUGAUGCCAAUCAUUUAUAAUGAAUGAUAACAUGAGGUAUUUCAUUUUCCAUUAUUUAUGUUUUGGCAUUCUUUAAGGAAUCAUACUUGUUGUAGUCUUAGUUGUGAUAGACAUUAUUUUCGGUCGCCAUACUACCCAUGUAGAUAUUUUAAGUUAUGCAAUUUCAAUUUUGAGCUGUUGUUAUUCUUAAUUUGUAUCAUAUGACAUAAAAUGUGAAAUUCUUCAGAAAAGUGUGAUGUUAAGUUUUGAAGUAGAAAUGUAAGAGACACUGAAGUGUGUAAGGUUUACUUUGUAGCAUUAAUGCUGGAUUUGAAAUGUAUAUAUUUCACGUAACUCUCAUAAAAAUCAUGAAGUAUAUUACACAAUGUUGUAUAUAGCUAUAUAAUGAAUAUUAAUUGUCAUAAAUGUGUGUAAAUUAUUAAAUAAUGUAUAUUUUUUAUCAUUUACAUUGUUUGCAAUUGGCUUUCAGGGUCCAAAACAGACAUAGCCCACAUAAUCUUUCAUAUAUCGUGAUACCAGUUACACUUCUUAACUGUUCAAAUAACAAAUUAAUAAUUUUCCAAAGCCUGCAUUUGCGAGAUUGUGGAUGACACUUUAAAGGUGAACAGUUUUUAAGAGCAUAAACAAUUCAUAUAAGUUUAUUUUUCAAAACAUUCACACCUUACUUUUAAUACGCCCGUUUUUAAAAACGGGACGUAUUAUAGUUUCACCCUUGGCGAGCGCGGUGUCCACAGCAGUGUCCGCUCUCUAAUUAUACCCCCAUUACCAUUGGUAAUGGGGGCUAUAUAGGAGUCACUUUGUCGGUCUGUCGGUCGGUCGGUCUGUCCCAAAAUUUCAUCCAAUCUUCACCAAACUUGGUCACAAGUUGUAUCUUGAUGAUGUAUAGGUCAAGUCUGAAUAUGGGUCAUGCCGGAUCCAAAACUAGGUCACGGGGUCACUUAGUGUGUUUUAAACCGAAAGUUUGUCUGGACUAUAACUAUGUCAUUUACCAUUAGAUUUUAAAAUAACUCGGAACAUUUGAUCACCAUCAUGGGACGGUGUGUUGUGUGUAAAAAGUACGUCAAUAUCUCCAAGGUCAAGGUCACACUUGGAGUUCAAGGGUCAAAUGCUUGUCCGGGUAAUUACUUUAUCAUUUAUUGUGAGAUUUUAAAAUCAUUUGGCACAUUUUUUCACCAUCAUUGGCCGGUGUGUCGCACGAAAGAAUUAAGUCCUUAUCUCCAAGGUCAAGGCCACACUUUGAGUUCAAAGGUAAAAAAUGGCCAUAAAUGAGCUUGUCCGGGCCAUAAAUAUGUCAUUCAUUGUGAGAUUUUAAAAUAACAUGGUAUAUUUGUUCACAAUCAUUGGACAAUGUGUCAUUAGAAAGAAUUACAUCAAUAUCUCCAAGGUCAAGGUCACACUUUAAGUUCAAAAGUGAAAAAUGAGCUUGUCCAGGCCAUAACUAUGUCAUUCAUUGUGAGAUUUUAAAAUGACUCUGUACAUUAACUUUGUUCACAGUCAUGCGAAAGAAUUCAAGAGUUCAAAGGUCAAAAUGGCCAUAAAUAAUAAUGGCAUAAUAAUUCUUAAAAAUCACCAUUAAUAAUAUUCUCUUGUUUUGUGAAGACAGCAUGUAAAAUAGUCUGUGUCAAUGCGGCACGUGGGGGUAUACGUCGCGUCUGUGACAAAGCUCUAGUUCAAAUAUUUUUCAUCAAACUUGGUCAGAAGUUGUGUCUAGACAAUAUCUAGGUCAAGUGCGAAUAUGGUUGAUGCUGGGUCAAAAACUAGGUCACGGGGUCACUUAGUGCAUUUCAAGGAUUAAGCAUGGUUUCCGCUCUCUUAUUGAAGAAGUUUUCACCCGAUCUUCACCAAAUUUGGUCAGAAGUUGUGUCUAGAUGAUUUGUAGGUCAAGUUUGAAUAUGGGUCAUGCCGGGUCAAAAACUAGGUCACGAGGUCACUUAGUGCAUUUCAAGCAUUUAGCAUGGUGUCCGCUCUCUAAUUGAAGUAGUUUUCAUCCGAUCUUCACCUAAUUUGGUCAGAAGUUGUGUCUAGAUGAUAUGUAGGUCAAGUUCGAAUAUGGGUCAUGCCGGGUCAAAAACGAGGUCACAUAGUGCAUUUCAAGCAUUUAGCAUGAUGUCCGCUCUCUAAUUGAAGUAGUUUUUUAUCCGAUCUUCACCUAAUUUGGUCAGAAGUUGUGUCUCGAUGAUAUGUAGGUCAAGUUCAAAUAUGGAUCAUGCCGGGUCAAAAACGAGGUCACGAUGUCACUAAGUGCAUUUCAAGCAUUGCGCAUGGUGUCUAAAACCUUCGAACGGGCGUAUCUUGUGACAGUUUGGCACUCUUGUUUAUAUUAUGCUGAUAUAUAUGAACACCAACAAUUAUCAAAUAAUAUCGCAAUUACAUUUAUUGAACUAUGAUUUGUUUUUGCAGGAUCCUGGCAAAAUAUAAUUGAUUACACCACUAAUAUUGAUAGACUGGGUACAAACAUUUUUCGUUUUCAAGAACAGUUAAGUUCUGUUUUCCUUUCUACUUUUUCUAAUUUUAUUUAAAUUGCUUUCGUUUUAUCCUACAUGAAGCAACAAUAAUAAAAUGUGAUGUAGUUACUUUAUGGGGCAAUUUUAAUGGAAUUUUACAGCAGUAAAUGAAUAUGAAGCUACUUAUGUUGCUACAUUUUGCAUUUUGUACAUUAUUAAGUCUCUUAAACUAAACAGAAAUGAACAGUUUUGAAAUGUACCUUGUGUUUUCAUUUUACUGUAGUUUUUCUCAGACUAAUAGAAUUGGGUCCCCAUAGAACUAACAUAUUUAUUAAUAUUCAUCAUGUGACAUAUUUUAUUUAUCUUCCCAUUUGAUGCAUAAUCACUAAGAAACUGUUAAAAACACGUAAGUGCUGUUGUUUGUUUUACAUCACAUCUGCUUGGUAAAUGUUUAAUAUUUAUUAAAAUAACAGAUAAGCACCCCAUGUCCUCACACAAUGCAGCCUCAGGGGCAGGAGGACCUCACAAAGUUGGAAACACACACGCACACAUGCUGGCACUGGGGUCAAAUGAAGAAUUAAACAAGGCUGCACAAUAAGUUGAGACUGUCAACUUCUAAAUUGGAUCAAUUUAUUUCCAAAAUUAGGGAUGUCUAGUAUAGUUAUUUCUAUUUUCAAAAUAUUUCUUACAGAUAUUCCUUUAAAGAAAACAGCGCAGACCCAGAUGAGAUGCCGCAUCAUGCUGGGUCUCAUCUGGGUCUACGCUGUUUGCCAAGGCCUGUUUUCUAGACGCUAGGCAUAAAUGGGUUAAAAUUAAUUUGACUUCCAUGCCUCAAAAUUAUGUGUUACAUAUUAAAUCUUCUUUCUAAUGAUGUAAUUGGAUAUAUGGCUUAGUUCACGAACUCUUUCAGAUACUUUUGACUGAGAAUUCAAACACAUUUUGAAACUGUUUUGUUUCAAAUAUGCUGUUGUUUUAAAUAUAGCUUGUCUUUUGCUCUCUCUGACCACUAUCUCUGACUUAACCAUGUGUUUAACUGUUGUUAUAAACCAUAUUUUUUUCUAAAUUUCCUGUAAUUUGUUAAAUGUCUAUAGUCGAAGCUUUUUCUUAAAUCUAAUGUGAUGAUUGAUAAAGAACAGGCACAAUUUAGUUUCAGAUUUAAAUUGUAACUGGUAUUACCAGUUCAAGUUACAUUUUGUGAAUUUAAUGUACAUUCAAAUGUUCAAAUUCAGAUCUAGCUUGAGUUUUAUGUUUUGAAACACAAGUUUAUGACAUUAAAUCAAAAGUUGUAUCGAAACCUGUAUUGUUUUUGCAUUGUGCGAUACUUAUUAUUAAUUACAUGUGAUUUAAUAAAUGAUGCCUUUUUAAAUUCAAUGUGUACUGAAUUGUAGUUUGAUUAAUUUUAAUAAUUGACUGAUGCAGAUUUUAAAUGUUUUAAGUAAAUUGAUAUGUGUCUUGUUUUGAAAAAACUAGGCUUAAUUCAUGUGCGUAAAGUGUUGUCCCAAAUUAGCCUGUGCAGUCCGCACAGGCUAAUCAGGGACGACACUUUCCGCUUAAAUGGUAUUUUUAGUUUCAAGGAAGUCACUCCUUACCGAAAAUCAAGUUUAGGCGGAAAGUGUCGUCCCUGAUUAGCCUGUGUGGACUGCACAGGCUAAUCUGGGACGACACUUAACGCACAUGCAUUAUGACCAGCUUUCACAGAACAAGACACAUAUGAUAUUUUGGCACAAAUUAAGAUCAUGCACACUUUUGAUUUGAUUACAUGUGUUUUUUAUCAAUGCUUUCUUUUAAUACCUUCCAUUUUCAUUAUUUCUCAAUGAUUUUUUAAUCAAAUAUGUGAAUGUGGGCAGCAAUAACAAACUAUGUGAUCUUGAUUAGUUGUGAAAUUCAUGUGAAUCAUCUUUUUUUCCAUCGGCAAAUACAAUGUACAUGUAUAUACUAUCAAUUAUUUGCAACAUACUGUUCCUAUGUUGCGUGGUUAGCUAUAGAGCAGGCAUUAUAUAUUUAGCAAUAAUCUCUAAUAUUCUAUUGUGAUUUAAUGUUGUUUUUGUUUCGCUGUUUAGACCCAAAAAUUUGCUUACGUUUGAAUCUGUCUUGUCGGCUAGAUACCAAAAUAAAUGUAAUUACAAAGUU